rnacentral:rRNA from 1 species
UACAGAGGUGGCAAGCGUUGUUCGGAAUUACUGGGCGUAAAGCGUGCGCAGGCGGUUUUGUAAGUCUGUCGUGAAAGCCCCGGGCUCAACCUGGGAAUUGCGAUGGAGACUGCAAGGCUUGAAUCUGGCAGAGGGGGGUAGAAUUCCACGUGUAGCAGUGAAAUGCGUAGAGAUGUGGAGGAACACCGAUGGCGAAGGCAGCCCCCUGGGUCAAGAUUGACGCUCAUGCACGAAGGCGUGGGGAGCAAACAGG